UUGCAUAUAUAAUGGAUACGCAAAAUGAUCAGAAACAUAAAAAGGAAUCUGUAUAUACAUAUAUAAGGCAAGAAAGAAAUUUACGACAUUGUAUACGAUCGUAUUCUAUUACUAAUAGAACUAACUAACACUGUCUAAAUCUGCCUAUAUUUAGCAAGUAGCACAUCUACAGUCAUUAUCUUAUUUUUUUCAAUCAAAAUGCGCAUUAAUUUCGAAAGCCAAAUAAAUAUAAAGUAUAUAAUAUAGUACGAAAUUAGGACAUAAAAAAAGGAAUGGGGCGUGUACGAAAUAGAGAAGCGCCAUUAAAAGACAGAGAGAAAAGAUGCUGUUGUUCUUGUUGCUCUUUUUCUGCGCGAACGGAAUGCGCACGAGUUUUUGCUGACAAAAAUCGUUUCCUGACCUGUUCUAAAGAAUAUCAUGUUUCUUUCUUUUAAGUUUAAUGCCCGAUGAAGAUUAGAUAUUUUAAUCUGUGUGUCUAUACUAAUUAUAUCUAUAUAAAAAUAUAAUUGAAGAUAAAUAUAAAUUUCGUAAUUAUUUACGGAAAUUUCAUAAUUAUCAUCGCGAUACAUGAGAAACUUCUUUCGAUUUUUAAAGCGCUUUCCAUUUCAAAGUUCAAUAUUACUUCAUUGAGACGUAUUACUUAUUUAUAUAGUAAUAAAUAGAGGAUUGGAUCCCAAGACUGGAGAAAGGUGAUUACCACCACAACAUGUUACGUGAUUUUUCACUUCCUACCACCAUUCACGAUUUUAUAUUACAUCUAUGCUCGAGUGAUACGCUGAUUUCUAUUAUGUACACGCUAAAUUUAAACAGACUCUCGUAUAGUGGUCGUUGCAGAUUUUAUUUUAAUUAAAAAAGAAAAAGUAUUAUGAAUUUCAAUAUCAUAUUUCAAAUAAACCAUAUUUUUUGAAAAAUAGUAUGUCGUAACUCAUUAAUCAAGUUGAGAUACGUAAAUAUUUCUUGACCUUAUAGAAAGAUAAAAUAUGAAUACUUCGUUUUAUCGAUUGCGUGCAAUCAAUAGUAUAACUAGAAAUUUUGCGUUCUAAAUUGGACACUUUAUACGGGACACUUUAUACAACCAUUGAGAUUGUGUUGUAUAAUAAUAUGUAACUUCAUUUUGGUAAUUUUUACAAGAUAUUGUUACACAAUUUUGUAAAAGAAUUAACAUUACCUAUUUUCUGACCGUAGAUAUUUUUUAUUUAUGGAAUAUUCGUUAUGUAUCACAACCUUGUUUGAUUAAUGAAACCAUGUUUUUAAAACGAUGGGUAUUAUGAGAAGUUUGUUAUUCAAACAAACAUCAAGGAAGCAUGUUAUUUUGCACAUACUAUAUAUACCAUUCAUUAUAUAUACGACCUUAGUGUAAAGUACAGAUUCUGAAACUGGUAGAGCUAAAUUCUGAAUAUAAGAAGAGCAAGAAUCUUAUAUUGUCAAUAUUUUUAGAUUUCAAAUUAUGAGAUUCUCAUAUUUUGUUUGUGCUACAACCACGUUGUAAAUAAUCUGUGUAAUAUUAGAGAGGAGAAAUUCUCUGGUAAAAAAUGGUGUUUUGACGAAAUAUCUCUAUCCUAGUAUCUCUUUGUGACGAAUACUGAGUAGUUCCCUUGACCUUCGCAAGAGACAUCGUUCUUAAAAGAAAGUUGUUAAAAAGUAUAAUACAGAUUUUACUGAUGAUAUUAUAGCAAAAAAUCAGAGGAAUUUGGAUUUUCGGCAAUUGUAUAUAAAGGGAUACAUUUCAUCGAUUUUAAUGAAAUUUAAAUAUGUAUCAGGAUGAAGAUUUUAUGUAUAAUAUAUAACCACCGCUCAGUUUUAGUUUUCGAGUGAUUGGUAAAAAAUUGUUGCUAUUAGUACAUUGAAUUUUGUCUGUACGUGCACAUCAAUGGCCCAUACACAUCACGAUGCGACAGCCAGUAAGCGAUCUAUAACGGGUGAAUUCGUCGAAAAUGUGUUUAGUUUUUUAGUUUCACAAUAUAUUUAAAUUUGAUCAAAAUCACUGAGCUCUAUCCCUUUAUGCACAAUUAUCAGACUUUUUACUUUGACGCAAUCUACAGGUUGUCAGAGAACUACCAGGAAAUAGUCACAAAUCGCUUGAGGGGUGUUCGAACACCUUUAUACUAUACCAUGACUAGAAGUGCCCCUAUCAUGGGACUUUCAGAAUCUGUAUAUACGAUCGUGCUUUAUAUGUACGCUAUACCAAGCUAUAUACACUUACGUAACGGUGUCAGAGCAUGUAUAGGUUAUGACGUAUUGGCAAUAGCGAAUAGAGGCAACCAGCGUCUGUGCUAUAAGGCCGAUUUCACACGAUGAUACGUAUAUGAAAUGUGUGGGUAUGCUAUAGUAUAUCCAACGAGGCGAGGCAGUCGACUUUCGAAUGCACUAGUCGGCAGCCAAUAGCUACAACUGCAGUUUUUCUUUUCAAAAUUUUGUUUACAUUUACUGUCUCGUCACGUUGGAUACACUAUACAUGUAUGCCAACAGAAGCAUUUGAACGGCGAUUGUUGACAAAUACAGUUUGACGGUACUGAUUUCGUGCAUCUUGAGAAACUCGAUCGCUGGCGAUACUUUUCUAUAGAUCAAAGAACGAUCUAUACAAAUGAUUGACUCAAGUAUAAAUGAUACUGUACAUUUUAUUCCUGGAAAUAUAUCUCAUACGUAUAUUGCGGCACGUAUUUUGCGGUACACGUAUCGCCGUGUGAAACCGGCUUAAUACUUUUGAUAUGGGGAAGGAGAUCCAGAUUCACACACACAUACCCAAUGAGCCGCUGCAACGCGCAUGUGUCUCGAAACACGAAGUAGACGCGGAGAGCAAACCGUACUUGAGUAUUGGCAUCGAGACAUUGUACGAAGUAGAAAAGCGAGAGUAGAAAGGAAAUGUAAAAAAGGGUAUUAAAUAAUGACUGUACGUAACUAGCAUAUGAAUAAGAAUUUUGAUGUAUAAACGUAACGUCAAGGCUUCAUAUUUAGUUUCGGUUCCAUACAGUCAAGAACUUAAGUUGUCCUGGAUCGAAGUCACCAUGUGGGGUUCUCAGCAGAGGUAUCGUAAUCAAAAACCCCCUGUAUGUCGUAAACGUGUACAUCAGACACGAUGAAAUAUGGUGUAGCUGAUUUAUCAUGUACAUUUUCCUAAUAUCCUGAUAAAAAGAUAAAA